UAUCAGUCAUGCAUAGCAUAUCAAUAAGCGGAGGAAAAGAAACUAACAAGGAUUCCCCUAGUAACGGCGAGUGAAGCGGGAAGAGCUCAAAUUUGAAAUCUUAAAGGGUUUCCCUUUACGAAUUGUAGUUUAAAGAAGUGUUUUCUGUUGAGGUUUUGGUAAAAGUUCUUUGGAAUAGGACAUCAUAGAGGGUGAGAAUCCCGUAUUUGACCUUUACUUUCAACUUUGUGAUACACUUUCAAAGAGUCGGAUUGUUUGGGAAUGCAGUCCAAAAUGGGUGGUAAAUUUCAUCUAAAGCUAAAUAUUGGCGAGAGACCGAUAGCGAACAAGUACCGUGAGGGAAAGAUGAAAAGAACUUUGAAAGAGAGUUAAACAGUACGUGAAAUUGUCAAAAGGGAAGCGUUUGACACCAGUGUUGUUUUUCUGAAAAUCAAUUAAAGAACUGUUUAUGCUAAGUUGUUUAGACUUUAUCAGCUAUCUGUUUAGUUUUGAGCUUUUCUUUAAUGCACUUUUCAGUUAACAAGUCAACAUCAAUUUCUUUUGCUGUAAAAAAGCUUGAGGAAGGUGGCUUGAGAUUCGUCUUAAGUGUUUAUAGCCUCUUGCCUAUGCAGUCGGAGAGAUUGAGGUCUGCAGCGUAGAUCCUUCGGGGCUAAAUGCAUUUGCUGCUAAGUUAUAGCAUUUUAUAGACAACUUGUUGACUAUGAUUUGUCUUGUAGCUUACUCGCUUAUGUUAUUUUACCUACGCUUAGGAUGUUGACGCGCGUGUGUGCGUGAGUCUAUACAUGACUCUGUGCAUAUCAAUAAGCGGAGGAAAAGGCAUACCUACGCUUAGGAUGUUGACGCGCGUGCUCGCGUCUAUACAUGACUCUGUGCAUAUCAAUAAGCGGAGGAAAAGCCAACUACCUACGCUUAGGAUGUUGAAGAUGUAGCACAUCAU
rnacentral:rRNA from 1 species